UUGGAGGGCAAGUCUGGUGCCAGCAGCCGCGGUAAUUCCAGCUCCAAUAGCGUAUAUUAAAGUUGUUGCAGUUAAAAAGCUCGUAGUUGAAUUUCGGGGUUAGUAGGUUGGUCAUGCCUCUGGUAUGUACUGGUCUCACUGAUUCCUCUUUCCUGAUGAACCUUAAUGCCAUUAAUUUGGUGUUUUGGGGAAUUUGGACUGUUACUUUGAAAAAAUUAGAGUGUUUAAAGCAAGCUAACGCUUGAAUACAUCAGCAUGGAAUAAUGAAAUAGGACGUUCGAUCCUAUUUUGUUGGUUUCUAGGAUUGACGUAAUGAUUAAUAGGGAUAGUUGGGGGCAUUAGUAUUCAAUUGUCAGAGGUGAAAUUCUUGGAUUUAUUGAAGACUAACUACUGCGAAAGCAUUUGCCAAGGAUGUUUUCAUUAAUCAAGAACGAAAGUUAGGGGAUCGAAGACGAUCAGAUUCCGUCGUAGUCUUAACCAUAAACUAUGCCGACUAGGGAUCGGAUGAUGUUAAUUUUUUAAUGACUCAUUCGGCGCCUUACGGGAAAC
rnacentral:rRNA from 1 species